UACGGAGGGUGCGAGCGUUGUCCGGAAUCACUGGGCGUAAAGGGCGCGUAGGUGGCCGAGCAAGGUCGCGGUGAAAGCCCGGGGCUCAACCCCGGGUCGGCCGUGGCAACUACUGGGCUAGAGCACUGUAGGGGCGGGUGGAAUUCCGGGUGUAGCGGUGGAAUGCGUAGAUAUCUGGAGGAACACCGGUGGCGAAGGCGGCAUCCUGGACCAAUACUGACGCUGAGGAGCGAAAGCCAGGGGAGCAAACGGG
rnacentral:rRNA from 1 species